rnacentral:rRNA from 1 species
GAAUGCGAGUGAUGGAUGCCUAGGCGCACACGACCGAUGAAGGACGGGGACUCCCGCCGAAACGGGUAGGCGAGCCGGAGUCAGGCUGCGACCCUACCAUCUCCGAAUGGGGCAACCCCACCACCGUGAUGGGUGGUGAUCCUAAUCUGAAUCUAU